GUGGGGAAUUUUGGACAAUGGGCGAAAGCCUGAUCCAGCCAUGCCGCGUGCAGGAUGAAGGCCUUCGGGUUGUAAACUGCUUUUGUACGGAACGAAAAGACUCCUUCUAAUAAAGGGGGUCCAUGACGGUACCGUAAGAAUAAGCACCGGCUAACUACGUGCCAGCAGCCGCGGUAAUACGUAGGGUGCAAGCGUUAAUCGGAAUUACUGGGCGUAAAGCGUGGGCAGGCGGUUAUAUAAGACAGAUGUGAAAUCCCCGGGCUCAACCUGGGAACUGCAUUUGUGACUGUAUAGCUAGAGUACGGUAGAGGGGGAUGGAAUUCCGCGUGUAGCAGUGAAAUGCGUAGAUAUGCGGAGGAACACCGAUGGCGAAGGCAAUCCCCUGGACCUGUACUGACGCUCAUGCACGAAAGCGUGGGGAGCAAACAGGAUUAGAAACCCUGGUAGUCC
rnacentral:rRNA from 1 species